UGGGGUAUAGCCAAGUGGUAAGGCACCGGUUUUUGGUACCGGCAUUCGCAGGUUCGAAUCCUGCUACCCCAGCCA
rnacentral:tRNA from 2 species